UACGUAGGGGGCAAGCGUUGUCCGGAUUCAUUGGGCGUAAAGAGCGUGUAGGCGGCCAGGUAGGUCGGUUGUGAAAACUGGAGGCUCAACCUUCAGACGUCGACCGAAACCAUCUGGCUAGAGUCCGGGAGAGGAGAGUGGAAUUCCUGGUGUAGCGGUGAAAUGCGCAGAUAUCAGGAAGAACACCUGUGGCGAAAGCGGCUCUCUGGAACGGUACUGACGCUGAGACGCGAAAGCGUGGGGAGCGAACAGG
rnacentral:rRNA from 1 species